rnacentral:rRNA from 1 species
UGGGGAAUAUUGGACAAUGGGCGCAAGCCUGAUCCAGCCAUGCCGCGUGUGUAAAGAAGGCCUUUUGGUUGUAAAGCACUUUAAGCGAGGAGGAGGCUACUUGGAUUAAUACUCUAGGAUAGUGGACGUUACUCGCAGAAUAAGCACCGGCUAACUCUGUGCCAGCAGCCGCGGUAAUACAGAGGGUGCGAGCGUUAAUCGGAUUUACUGGGCGUAAAGCGUGCGUAGGCGGCUUCUUAAGUCGGAUGUGAAAUCCCUGAGCUUAACUUAGGAAUUGCAUUCGAUACUGGGAAGCUAGAGUAUGGGAGAGGAUGGUAGAAUUCCAGGUGUAGCGGUGAAAUGCGUAGAGAUCUGGAGGAAUACCGAUGGCGAAGGCAGCCAUCUGGCCUAAUACUGACGCUGAGGUACGAAAGCAUGGGGAGCAAACAGG